GUGCGCGCUUCGGCAGUACGUAUACUAAAAUCGGAACGAUACAGCGAAGUUUAGCAAGGCCCCUACGCAAGAAUGACACGCAACCUAGUGCAGCGUUCUAAAUUUUU